rnacentral:rRNA from 1 species
AGUGAACGCUGGCGGUAGGCCUAACACAUGCAAGUCGAACGGCAGCACAGUAAGAGCUUGCUCUUACGGGUGGCGAGUGGCGGACGGGUGAGGAAUACAUCGGAAUCUACUUUUUCGUGGGGGAUAACGUAGGGAAACUUACGCUAAUACCGCAUACGACCUACGGUUGAAAGCAGUGGAUCUUCUGACCUUGCGCGAUUGAAUGAGCCGAUGUCGGAUUAGCUAGUUGGCGGGGUAAAGGCCCACCAAGGCGACGAUCCGUAGCUGGUCUGAGAGGAUGAUCAGCCACACUGGAACUGAGACACGGUCCAGACUCCUACGGGAGGCAGCAGUGGGGAAUAUUGGACAAUGGGCGCGAGCCUGAUCCAGCCAUACCGCGUGGGUGAAGAAGGCCUUCGGGUUGUAAAGACCUUUUGUUGGGAAAGAAAAGCAGCAGGUUAAUACCCCGCUGUUCUGACGGUACCCAAAGAAUAAGCACCGGCUAACUUCGUG